CCUAACCUAACAAGGAAAGUUAAGGAAAGGAAAGGCGGAGGUCAAUGCUUAGGUUCUUGCUUAUUAGGGUUUCGAAAUCCAAAUAUUAGAACCCGUUUCUGCCAGUUACUACUUGUGUAUUGUACAGCUGUUGCAGCAAGCAGUGGAGAAUUAGGUAAAGUUGAUAUAUUCUUCAACUGGAGAUGGAUAACGGUCACGACGGCAGAUUGGCUGAUAAAUUGACGGGAUUGUCGAUUAACGAUGGUGACAAUAGAAUCAGUUCUCCAUCCUCCAACAAAAGCAACAACGAUAACUUGUUUCAGGUGAUGAAAGUCGUCGAGGCUGCCGAAGACACCAUCAAACAACAGGUGGAAGAGAAUAACCAAUUGAGAGUCGAACUUUGCAAGAAAAUUCAGGAACUGGAAAAAUAUAAAUUGGAUGAAUCAAUGGCCCAAAGAGUUCGUCCAGAUUAUCCAAAAAAUGUGCAUGUCCGUGGACCUUAUGAAGUUCAUCAGUCAGUUCACUCUGCAGGGAAUCAAAAGGACGGGCUUAAGAAUGUAGGCAAUACUUCAACAGUUGAUUCAUCAGGCACACUGGUGGUCCAACAAGAUUCAAAGCCUAGUAGAGAGGAUUUUAUCAUAAAAAGUCAUGUUGGAAACAAUGCUGAUAGCAGCAAAAUGAAAGGGACGUUUAGGGCACUUACUGGUGGUCAGACAGCUGUAGAUGAUACCGGUGUAUCUCAGUUUUCUUCACUGUCUACUACAUCCUUCUCCCCUAGCAGGUGCCAAAUAGAAGGAGAACUUGAGCCACGGUUUAAUUUUUCUGGACAUGUGCUGAUGCCUAUGAGUAACCAUGCCAGCCACUGGAAGCAGGAUCUUGCUCUCAAAAUUCGGGAGCAUGAAGAGGAAAUUAUACAGUUAUGUAAACAGCUUGCUGACUAUUCUAUCAAGGAAGCGCAAAUAUGCAAUGAGAAAAUAUUUUUGGAAAAGCGUAUUGUCUACAUGCGUCUGGCCUUUGAUCAACAGCAACAGGACCUUGUUGAUGCUGCAUCAAAAGCUCUUUCAUAUAGACAAGACAUAAUCGAGGGAAAUAUACGCCUCACAUAUACAUUGCAGGCUGCACAGCAAGAAAGAUCAACAUUUGAGUCUUCAUUGCUGCCUCUUCUUGCAGACUAUUCUCUACAACCACCAGUUCCUGAUGCCCAGUCAAUUGUUAGCAAUGUAAAGGUCCUAUUUAAACAUCUGCAAGAGAAGCUUAUAGUUACGGAGUCAAAGCUAAAGGAGUCUCAGUAUCAAUUGGCACCCUGGCGUGCGGAUGUGAAUCACUCAAAUUUUGCUCCACAGUCACCACCAAGUUCUAUCGGCGUAGCAUUGACAACAAACAAAAAUGGGCUUGAACUGGUACCCCAGCCAACCUAUUCUCAAGGGAAGAUGUCAAUUAAUUCUAAUGGUCAGACAGCCACAGAUUGGGAUCUAUCUGGUUACCGUCAAUAUGGUUUGGGUGGAAAUGUUGCAAAAAACCUGGGAUCGGAUGAUGUUGGGAGAUAUUCUCCCCUUGCAAGCAGAAAUUUCGCAGCCCAUGAUAUACCUGCACAGUUUGCUGUUACUCAUCAGGAUGGUCAUUCACAUUAUGUUGAAGAAGCCAUCAAUAAACAAGUAACCCUUCAUGACCCGAUUAGCAGCGGUGAGAUGGAUGAUCCUACUGGGGAGGGACACCAGAAAGAAAGAGAACCUUCGGGCAAUUGGGGUUCUCGAAAUCCUACAUACACAACCACUCUUGAUGAUCCCUGCUCCUCAUAUUCUCCUUACCUCCCUCCUGUUCUUGAAGAGCCAUCCUCUUCAUUUUCUGAGGCUGCUGAUGAUGAUCCGUUACCUGCAAUAGAGGGCCUACAGAUUUCUGGUGAAGCUUUCCCAGGGCAGGAACUCCAGGCAAGCGGAUAUUCUAUGAAUGGAACAAGCAGUUGUAAUUUUGAGUGGGAGCAAAGCAACCAAACUAUCUUGUUACUGCUGACGACGUUGAUACAUAUUUGGCUAUUGAAGUCCAGCCUCUGGAUGACAGGAAACGCAAGUGCAAGAGAUACGAUUGUUCUCACCUUGAGAUUAUUUAUCAUAAGGGCUAGUGAGAGAAAGAAAGGAAAGAAGAGAGGCUUAUUCUUUAACAAGUAACUCUCAUUUUCCCCCUUUAGCUUCAAAUGCCACCGAGUUCUGCACAUGUAUGGCAAAGGAUUAGUAGUGUCUCGAGUCGUUUGGUCGACCAUUUGCUAUUUAGUUUAUCACAGGCAAGGAUGAGCGUUGAGUUGUAGCUGCAACUGGUUAGGUUAUUUGUUGAUGAUGCAAUCUCACAAGGCAGUGUGUGAUUUGGACAUAGGAGGUACCGUUGAUAAAUAUGAUUUUCAUUGGAAUCGAAUUUUGGACACACAUAUGUCUAAUCCAAUCAAUUAUCAAUCGGGUCGUCCCUCAUUGGUUUGAUGUAGAAGAAAAAUAUUAAUUUUUAAUUUUAGAUUCCAUCUCGGAUCUUUGUGUAUAGACUAUAGUGAGUAUAGUCUAUUCUUUUAAAAAUGUGUUUCGAGUGUUUAUAUGAUAACCAAUUACAGUAUUACGCCACUCUUUUUUUUUGAAUUAUUGUUCAAUAAAAUUAGCAAAAACAAUCGUUUCUCAAGGCACUUCAAGAAUUGAGCAAGGACUUGAACAAGAACAAAGGGAAAGAAAAUCUAAUCCUAUGUUGAAAAUGUAAUUUACUCGAGUAGAAAAUCGAAUUAGAAUUGUCAAAAAUAAUAUAUCAAAAAAUUCCCACAUUCAGUGAAAGAUGAAAGACAGUGCAGAUAUACAGUGCUGCAUCAAUAUUCUAUAUUCUAAUUUCCUUUAUAUAUAUGUUCUGUUGUGAAAAUGAGAAUAUAUGCCGUACGGGUUCACUUGGUUAGAUAACUUAUCAUGCUCACACAAAAAAGAAAUAAACAAUUAGUAGAUAAGUUAGAAUGUUGACUGUGUCUCUCUCUAGAUGGUAGUGUUAGGGGUGAGUGAGAACCCUAUAAAU